AUGGGAUUUGAGCAAAGCCCGCAUGAGGCGGCCGUCUACCGACGGGGCAGUGGAGGAAACGCCCUGCUGGUGGGCGUCUAUGUUGACGACUUGGUGAUUACCGGCACCAAAGAUGCAGAGGAUCACUCCGGGAUCGCGCUUCGACAGUCCGCCUACGCCAAGCGCAUCAUUGAGCUAGCUGGGCUCACCGACUGUCACCCAGCUCUCACUCCGAUGGAGGAGAGGCUGAUACUGAGCCGUGACAGCAAGGCGGAGGAAGUGGAUGCUACGCAGUACCGACGCCUUGUGGGGAGCCUUCGCUACCUCGCCCACACACGGCCGGACUUGGCAUUCUCUGUCGGCUAUGUCAGUCGGUUCAUGGAGCGACCGACGACGGAGCACCAGCAGGCAGUGAAGAGGAUCGUCCGCUACGUAGCAGGGACCCUCGACCACGGUCUCCACUACCCUAGGUGUCCGGGGGCGGCACACUUCGUCGGAUACAGCGACAGCGACCACGCCGGCGACAUCGACACCAGCAAGAGCACGAGCGGGAUCCUCUUCUUCCUCGGCAAGUGUCUCGUGAGCUGGCAAUCAGUCAAGCAGCAGGUGGUGGCCCUGUCCAGCUGUGAGGCUGAGUACAUAGCGGCCUCCACCACCUGCACUCAGGCGCUCUGGCUCGCUCGACUGCUUGGUGAUCUCCUCGUCCGAGACACCAGAACGGUGCAGCUCCUGAUGGACAGCAAGUCCGCCCUGGCCCUGGCAAAGAACCCCGUUUUCCAC
rnacentral:rRNA from 1 species